UUGCACCAAUAAUAAAUUUUCAUGUAGAAUAAAAUAUCACAACAUCACCAUAGAUAACAACACAAUUUCAUAACUUGAAAUAAAAUAUUUUAGCUUAUUAAAGCCUUACAUUUUUCUUAUAAUAAAAUAAGUAAAUAUUAGAUAACAUCGGCCCUGAUCUCAUAGUAUCACAGCCUACAAUUCUUUUUAAACAUAAAAAACAAUUAAACAAACAUUCAAGAACAACAUAACACGAGUUAAAAGAUAAUUAUCCACUUUACUCUCAUGAACGAACAUCUCAGUACUACAUGUAGCGAGGAGGCUCUGCAUACAACAUAAAAAAGAAAAGAACAUAGAAAACAAGAUGUUAGAUAUGUUAUAUGUAACUUAAAGUUGUACAAAAAUAAAAAGGCAUACAAACAAACAUAAAUCUACAUUCAUGACUCAAACCAUCUAAGGUUUGCAUAUUAAACUACAAGAUAUUAGUGUGACAUUUUCUUGUGCCUAUAAUGAAUUUCCUAGCUUAAAUAUAUGCCCUAACAACAACGUAUUAUCAAGAGUUUCCACACUAAAGAGUAAUCCCCUCCUAGACUAUAGGUUAAAAUCCCUAUAUAUAAUACAUGUUUCAUCACAUAAAAUUAAAAAAUGUUAUCAUAUAAAAAUUAUUAAUAUCAUCCAUGCCUCUCACAAACUAGGUAACUCAUGAAAAAAAAAAUUAUCAUCUUAACACCAUCCUUGCGUUUAUUGAGACAAGUAGCCUGUCUUAAAUAAUAUUCAUUAAAAAAAUAUACACAAAAUAAAUAUCCUAAAGAUCAACCUUGUAAUUAGUUAAAACUCGAAUUUAAUUCUUAAAUUAACAACUUAUAUUCUAAUCCCCAUAUAAAAUAUUAAGUACAUAUUCUAUAUUUUUCUCUUUCAUUUAUUAAUUUCGUUCUUCACUCAAGAAAAGUUACGACACGACGGAUGUUCUGGGGAUUUUCUAACCUAUUUCAUUUAUUAAUUUCAUUGUGUGUUUUGAUAAUUUUCUUCAACCAUAAUUACCUCUUGUUUCAUUAUUGAUUUAUACCCUUGAGCUUUUCGUUAUAUAUAUAUAUAUAGACACACACAUCUUGUAUUACUGAAAACAAUGUUAUUAAAGAACUAUGUAUGUAUGCUAACAGUUUGUGGAAACUAUGGUAUAUAAAGAGAUAAUAUUUCAUAUUUGAGUUUUGUUGUGAUGAUUUUUUAAUUUUUUUUAUCAUAAUUUGAUAUAACUUUGUUUUUGUAUUUCUUUUGAAUUACAAAUUAUUUAGACUUGUUCAGAACGAUUGUUAGCUUGUUUGGGUAAUUAAUUUGUUUAGGUAGAAUCAAUAUUAUUUCCUAACAUAUUUAUUGUUUUGAAGUAUUUGAGUAUGUGUUGUUGUUAUAAAAUCUGUCAAUUUGUCCAUGCAGCAUUCUCAGGUGCUAGGAAGGGGCAAUACACAUUUGGGACGAGUAGAGUAAAAAUAUUUUCAAUUAAUAUUCAGAGGGUGGUCUAAGGCCUACUAAGGAUGAAAUAACUAAUGGUAUCUAAAGUUUAGUUUUUAAAUCUUCAUAGUUUCACUUAAAGAGAGAUAUGUGUUCAUUGUAUGGUUGAUAAUAUGAUUAAUCAUAAUAUAUUUUAGUAACGGAUGUGUGGUUGAAUUUUCGUGUUUUACCUACUUCCAUCCCGCUAGAAAAAAAAAUAUUUGACAUGAUAACUAAAGAUAUCAAAGAAAUUUCAGGAUCGGAGAAAUAUAUGUAAGUUUUAGACAAAUUAUAAGAGAAACAACAUUAUAACAAUAAAAAAUAGUUUUAGAUAUAAUAGAUAAAAAAAAAAUUACCUUUGUACAAACUCAAACAAUAACCAAUGUUGCAAAUCAGAGGCUUUUUAUUACCCGGAUAUAAUUUUUCACAAUCGACGUCAGUAACACAUUCAUCUGUAAUAUAAAAUAAGAAUAAAGAAGGUUACUAAAAAUGAUUGAAAGAUUAUGCAUAAAAUAAAAUAAAAAUCAAGAUGAGCUUACUUCCACCAGCUUCUACAAUAAGCAAUAAGGAAACAAAAAGUAUCAUAAUAUAAACAAACUUAAUAAUUUCAGCCAUUUUUUUUACCUUUGUGUAUAACAAAAGUAUAAUUGUCUGAACACUUUAUAUAGUAAAAAUCCCCAUACAAUAAUUACAUCUAUUAAACAGUUUAAUAAUUUUGAGACGAAACAAAUUCAUCAUUUAAA
rnacentral:lncRNA from 1 species